UCCCUCCCUCUCUCUCUCUCUCUCCUCUUACCUGAGCUGGCGGGAUCUUGAAAUGCUUCUCAGAGACCCAGGGCUUUUGGGGUGCGCCCCGGCAGCUCUCCUGCUGUCUGAGGAAUCACUCUAAGCUUGAAGCAGUUGUGGAAGAAUAUGGGUGAACCAGGAAGAUUCCAACGUCUGUAGUUGCAGCAGAUGGCAGAAUGAACUAAUCAUUUAUUGCACUUCAUUUUACAGCACAUAAUCAAACAA